GACGAACGCUGGCGGCGUGCCUAACACAUGCAAGUCGAACGGUCCGGCACUCAACCGACCCUCAGUCUAACUGUAGGGGAAGUUAAGUGCCGGAUAGUGGCGGACGGGUGAGUAACGCGUGGGCAACCAACCCUGUACAGUGGGAUAACACCGGGAAACCGGUGCUAAUACCGCAUGACACCUAGAUGGUGCAUACUGUUUAGGUUAAAGGGCAAAACCGGUACGGGACGGGCCCGCGUCCCAUUAGCUGGUUGGUGAGAUAACGGCUCACCAAGGCGACGAUGGGUAGCCGACCUGAGAGGGUGGCCGGCCACACUGGGACUGAGACACGGCCCAGACUCCUACGGGAGGCAGCAGUGGGGAAUUUUGGACAAUGGGGGCAACCCUGAUCCAGCCAUGCCGCGUGAGUGAAGAAGGCCUUCGGGUUGUAAAGCUCUUUCGGUCCGGGAACGGAAAUCGCAUGGGUUAAUGCCCUGUGCGGAUGACGGUACCGGCAUAAGAAGCACCGGCUAACUACGUGCCAGCAGACC
rnacentral:rRNA from 1 species